rnacentral:lncRNA from 1 species
UUUUCUUCACUCAAUAAAAUGACCAAAUCCCCAUGUUUGUCUCAUAAUCCAAACAACCCCCUACAUCUAAGAACCCUAGAUUCCCUAAUUUAUAAAAUGCUCUCAAAUCUUCCUCUCUACCCCGCCGUCUUUCGUCGCCCGUAAAUCGGCAUCUGGCAGGGACUACCACCAAAUGACCCCAAAUUUUCACCAAAUACUCCUCACCACCUCCUCAACCCUAAUCCAGCAUCAUACUCCCUAAAACCCCUCUCAACCUCGCCGAUUAGAAGAUCUAGGAAUAUAUUUUGGCCCAUUUUCCUAAUUACCAUCAACCCAGUGUCAUCUUUAUCUAACUCUUACAACAAAUGAUAUGUCUUUGAGAGACCGUUCAUUUGGGGUCAUUAGUUCACUUCAAUUCUGGUGGCCAAUUCCCCCCAAAACUUUCACCUUUCAUUUUUAAUUGGCGUGCUAAAGUUAUUGUUAUAUGUAGCACUGUCCGAAAUGAAGAAAUCACGGCCAGUACUCGUGUAGCAAUAAUCUUUUCACGUCGGAGUUCAUUUUUGUCAUCUUGAUUCAAUUAGAACAGGUAUAUCUUUCUCUUACUAUUCUUAAUUGUUUAAUUAUGUGUUUAACUUUUAUUGGUCUGAAUUCGUUUUAAUUAAGUUAAGUUUAGUUGUACAAACUUAUGCUCUAAUUGCAACUUGUCACAACCCCAAUAUCCCACCUUAAGGUGUCGUGAUGGCACCUAGUCUCUAAGACUAGUAAGCCUAACAUACAUGAAAAAAUAACAAAAAUAAUAAUAGAAACUAUACAUCCCUAAUACAUCAAUAUCAAUAAUAAGAGUAUGCAACAAAAAUCAAGGACAGAAGGUGACUUCGAGACAUCCGAACGCCGGCAGAUAUACCUUGAAGUCUCCAAUCUGGAAGUUCUACUCACUGGUGCCUAGCUUGGUAUGAGGCACUUGAAUAUUCACAAAAAGAUGUGCGGAAGCGUAGUAUGAGUACACCACAAUAUACCCAGCAAGUAUCAAGCCUAACAUCGGUAAGCAGUGAUGAGGUCAGGUCAAAACACCUACUAGGAUAAGAAAAAGAAAUUGAACAAGUAUAAUAUAGUCUAAGAAUGUAAACAAGGAAAAUGAGGCAAUAAGGAAAUACAACAAGAUUAACUGUGUCACGAUCCAAACCGAUGGGCCGCAUGUCUACAAGCCUUUAAGAGUACAUAAAUGUCAUAAAUGUCAGGAUAGAGUCCCGCUAUACCAAACAAUACAUGUCUAAAUCAUACCAAUCAAACAUGCAACUCUGAAGCGAAUGGAGAGCACCAACAUCCUCCGCUGAGCUGAUAGCCUACUUGGGGGUCUCUCGACCUAUCUAUCUGGACCUGCGGGCAUGAAACGCAGCAUCCCCAGGCAAAAAGGGACGUUAGCACGAAUAACGUAUUGAGUAUGUAAGGCACAUAAAUAAGUACAUAACAGACGUGGAGGAAAUAUAGAAUAAAUGACUCCACAUGUAAGUCUGAAUAACUUUGUAAAUCAUGAAACAAUUAUAGUAUCAUGCAUAUGCAUAUGAAUGUCAUGUCGUGCAUAGGUACAUAUUUCAUAACAUCACCAGCCUCUGAGAGCAUCUCAUCAUAUCAUCUUGGCCACUGUGUGAAAAAUCAUCAACGUAUACCAGUUGAUCAGGUGGUGGUGCGUAUGUAACGCCAUAACCUUUCUCAUAACCCAUAUACAUAUAUAUACAUACAUAUAUACACAUAUAUAAUGCCAUCUGGUCAUGGGUCAACGUACAUGAAUGCAAUGCAUGAAAAUUACAUUAACAAAAUCUUUCGGAAUGUCAUAAGACCAAUUUGUCGUUGAGUAAUACCAUGAAAUAAACCUUAUCAAUUUACGUAUUUUCUGAGACCCAUGAACAGAUGAAAGAAUAAUAGGACACAUGGAGAAUCAAGUACAUAGGCACUUCUAACACUUCAUGAAUAGAGUCAUUUAUGAAAGUUGGUCAUUUUCUCGUUUCGUUCAUAUCGUAUAGAUCGUGCCAAAAGAAAGAAAGGAUAGCCUUAACAUACCUGAGCCUAUUCUCUUGACAAUCCUUCUAAUAUAUGUUGAUUGCGACAAAACGCAUAACGGCGGAUCGAAGUAGGGGAAAAUUCGUAUGGUAUUCUUGAGAAAGAUUGCACCGUGAUCUCUUAGAAUCGGAUUUACGCUAUUGUAGCAAUCCAUCCGUUAGCAAGCCUAGAUCUCUUGUAAGAGUUCAUAAGUAUUAUUUUGAAUUACAUGCUUUAGUUGCUGCCCAUAAUUUCCUCUUAAAUGACUAGCUCUUGUUUGAUGUGUGCAUGGAAUGAUGCAGCAAAUGGAGGUUUAAAUAAUCUUGUAAGUUUGUAAUUUGAGUAUAUCCAAAUACAAAAAUGGAAUGAAAUUAGGAACAAAUAUCACCCACUCACUUGGUAUAUGGAAACACUUUUUCGUAUGAACAACACCAGUAUGUAACAAUCUCUCAUAUUUUAAAGAUUUGUGGCUCCCACUUUUGGGAUGACUUAGUCACAAAUAUAUCUUAAAAUAUGACACCUUGCAAUUCUUUUUAAGAGUCAUUGAUUUGAAUUGUGGGCUGCCACAUUACAAUAUUAUCCAAAUAUAUCCCCAAUAAAUAGGUAAUGUCUUGUUACCCCGUAAAAUUGAGAAUUAUUUUGACUUACUUAAAAUAUUACUCACUUUUCACAUACCUUAUACACCUUACUAUUAUGAUCAUGUGGUACCUUGUAUGGUACUAGUCCAUAAAUACCGAGUAUUUUAGCUUGAGCUAGAUUUUAUCCCAAUAUGCCAAACUUGGACGAAAAUUCGUUUUCUUUGACUUGCUUCCCUUUCACCUUUACGAAUUUACUUAUUACUUAUUUGAAAUGGCAUAAUCUUUAUAAUCUCCAAAUAAUCUUUUCCAUGGACUAAUGUCAGUUACCUUAUGACAAAUUCAACGUACAACACUAUAGGGUGCAACAUCGUUGUAAUGUAGUACUGUGGGAUGUGACAUCUCACUUUCGGGUUCUCAUUAGUUUAUUUAUGGUGUGUUUUCAUGUACAAAAAUAUGGGGUGUAACAUCAUUCCCCUUUUGGAACAUUCAUCCUUGAAUGUUGAAUGAUGCGCUUAUUGUUAUCAUAUCCCAAAGCUCUUGCGAAUACUUUAGUAGUCCUUUUGUCACCUAGGCAACUAUUCUGUGAAUAAGUCCAAAGGCCAGGACAUUCCCUCCUUUAGGCCUCUUUCCCACGCCAUGACAUGUGAUCGAAUUCCUUCCACUCUCGUAACUGUUGCUGCCUUCCAUUAUGUUGCUUAUACGAUAUGAACCUUGUAAGUAUGCCUAUGCGACUCUCCUCUCCUUUUUCCUCCAGAUUUUAGCCAAUCCUGAAGUUCUUCGCUUGGUAUUUGUCGAACUUACGAAUAUUGCUAUAUCUUAUUUUAUAGACCUGGUUAUCCAUUCGUAUGGCUUUACUACACCUACAUAGGUCAUACUAUACCAUAAUUUUUACCUCGAUUUCUCAUUAUUGAAGUCUGCUACCAAAUCUCAGAUUACUUUCAUUGCUUAUCUCAUACAUAUAAAUCUAUAUCCUCUAAUGCCUCCAUAUUACUGUUCAUCUUUAAUAAUGACGGCAUAAUCUCCUCUCAUACUUUAUAACUUUUAACCAUCCAUUGUCGAUUCACCUCAAUUUCGAUCCAUAAUCUACCCCUAAUAACUCAACCUUUUCUGUAAUAUUGCUACUAGGAAUCACAUUUUAUCGGGGAACAUCUGAAAUGGUUAGAAUGAUCCACCAGAGGAGAUACCCUGCUUUCAUAACCAUAUCUCAUGGCAUCCCAAUGUGAUUCAUCGUGCGUGGGUAUUUUAAUCCUGUCCAAUUCAUGAGAUCCCUUUCUUUUAUUCGUCAGAUCAUUACUCAAUCUAAGGCCUAAACAUCAUUUUUUUUGUCUAUAAUAACUACACCCUCAUUUUAUUAACAGGGCAGCAUUCCAUCUCUUCUGAAUGUUAUUAGUCUUAGACUCCUUUGAGUUCAUUCAGGUUAUACUGAACUUUCUAUAACUUAGAGAAAGCAAUAGCUUUCUUGUUUUCAUGGCUCUUAAUCCCGAUGACUUAUCCGUUCUCGUCACCAUCUUACUCGCCCUUUCUCGUUCUUACUCCUGUCAUAAAACUUUGUCGCUUUACUAUAUUUUAGCAUGGGACCCAUACAUAUCUAUUUAUAUUAUUCACAUCUUUCCUUCAACUUGCUUGCACCAUAGAUUUCCUUAUGUUGUUCUGGAACAUCAAGUAAGACAUCACAUUGUCUCUAACUAUUCUUUACUCUCACAAUCAAGCUUUUCGAUACCUAGACCAUAGGUUAGAAGAUAUGCUAUUGACGUUGUUGCUAUCAUUCCUGGAUAUUCCCCGCGCUUCUAGCCUUCUAUCCCAAGUAUGGAAUAUUCUCAACCUUUUGCUUCUGAGUAUCUCGUUCAUUAUUCACAUUUACCUUACUUUCCUUAAAGCCUCACAUCACAUCUUAUAUCUCUUUCAUGACCUUCCCUCCACAUAGAUAUAAUGCACAUCCACGUCUUGAACUUCUAUUAUAAUACAUGCACCUUUUUACAAAAUCUCAUGAGAGCUUCAUACUAACCUCUUAUGAGGUUGAGACACCUCUAAGUGGCUUUAUCGUAGUGCCGUUAUAGAAUAUAGCUACUGCAUUAUCUCUCUCGUACCUUUGAUAGUAAGGGUGAUUCUGCAAUGUUUUCAAUCACGAUUUCUAUAAUUUUCAGGGUCCAAUAAUCAGAUUCCUGAUUUACUUCGUUGAUGUAUAUCUUUAGUUUCCUCUUUCUUAUCAGCCUUUAUGUAGGCUUAAGCCACCUACCGAUAUGAGGUUCGUGGUAUUAGUCAUUACUUUAGCCCUCCAUGGACGUUAUGGAAUAUCCAUGAUACAAUCUUUUAAUAAUUCAUUCCUUUAUCUAUGACCUGGGCUCAAUUCUUUCUUUUAAACUAUACCGAAAUCUUCUACGGCUAUAUGAUUGUCAACAUACAUGCUGCAUGGAUAAUACCCUGAACUCUCAAGUGCAUUCAUAAAGUAACCAAACUUUGGAUCAUUGAUCGAAUGAUUCUUUCAUUCCUUCUUAGUUUUCUUUAAACGUAAGCCAUUACCUUUCCUAUUAUUUCUUCCCCCUUGUUGCAUGCAUACUUAGCUUAUCUUAGCUCUCACGCAUACCGGAAUUUUCGUACAACUCAUAUGAUCUUCGAAUAUUGCUUUUGAUUUUACUUCCCAUUCAUUAGCCACGGUAGGUUCCUCUUUCUUAUGGAGAACGUACAAUGUCGUUGUGAAACUGUUGUUACAAGACCAUUUCCUCUUUAGGUUGCUGAGUUCAGGUUGCAGCCUUUUUCCUUAUUGUCCUUAACUUGUCUUUCAUUAUAGUACUUAGGGAGGACUCUCUGACUCUUGUAAAUCUGUGAGCUUAUUAUAUUGUACACUCGACGGACCAUCUAAUGUCUUUCGUUGCCUAUACUUAUCUGUAGUUACUUAUCUCCAUGCCCUUGUGCUUGUGGGGUUGAUUCUGGACUGAUAUUUUGACCGUCUUCCUAGUGGAACUCUUUUUUAUUUCCGUAACACUCAUACAGUACCUUUUUCACUUCGCCGCGGUAGGUUCCUCUUUCUUAUGGAGAACGUACAAUGUUGUUGUGAAACUGUUGUUACAAGACCAUUUCCUCUUUAAGUCGCUGAGUUCAGGUUGCAGCCUUCUUCCUUAUUGUCCUUAACUUGUCUUUCAUUGUAGUACUUAGGGAGGACUCUCUGACUCUUGUAAAGCUAUGAGCUUAUUACAUUGUACACUUGACGGACCAUCUAAUGUCCUUCCUUGCCUAUACUUGUCUGUAGUUACUUAUCUCCAUGCCCUUGUGCUUGUGGGGUUGAUUCUGGACUGAUAUUUUGACCAUCUUCCUAGUGGAACUCUUUUUUAUUUCCUUAACACUCAUACAGUACCUUUUCACUUCUCCAACUCUUAUAUGAAUAUAUCUCAACUAUUACAAUGUCAUAACUGCGGGGCUGAAUUCACUAUAUUGGGUUUUACUAUUUUUAUCUUGCACAACCUAUUGUUAUGUCUGUUUCCUCUUGACUGGCCAUAAUUAGGCUCUUCCUGAAUCAACUACUAACUACUCGUUGGCCCAUUCUCAUGUCAAUAUUCCACAAAAUCUUUCUUGGGUUAUUUUCUUUGUCUUAACUUACGUCUCACACUAACUCCUUAUCUAUCAAUAACAUCUCGGGCAGGGACCUGUACUUCCUCUCAUUGACGUCAUAAUUGCAUAAUGUUCUGGAAUUGUAGCAUAUACGUAGGAGCUGAAUAAGUGUAAUCUCAUUCCUUUUUUGUGUUUACCGCAUUCUUCAUUUACCAUUCCAUGAUUACUAGAACCAUUUAAUUCUGACUUUAUGUCACAUCACUUCAUAUUCCUCCCUUUAGGGGAGUACUAAGAUUUAGCAUUAUGAUGAUCUACUUGUAGAUGUUUUACCUCUUUAGCCUUGGCGUUUUCUCACAUCAUCGAUGACCCUUACUCGCCUUGUGGUAAUCCUUUUGUACCAAGAAAAUGAAAUUUCUCACUCGCGAAAGUGGCACUUAGUGUAACUGGCACACAUAGUCCCUUAAGCUUAAACUUUGCUCACAUUGCUUGCUUUAGGGAAGCGUCUUCCUGAAUGACCAUUUUUUGAAUUUCUUCUGAAUCUUUGUCUGUUGUCCAUUCUACUAUCGCUAGAACAAAAUCUAAAAUUCUCAUGAUGCCGACUAUUAUCAAAUCAUUCAGUCCUUAAUUUAUGUUUAGUUUAUCUUGUUCACCAGCCCAUACUGAUUCCUAUUACUCCGGGGUCUAACUUUUCCUCUUGGUAAUCGCUCUAGAGUUGCGAUCUUAUUUCUCAAAAUAAGGACAUGACUGUAUGGCAUAUACUCUUUUGUUGUCUUAAGGCUUAUCACCUCUUGUCUCUUCCUUUACUUGAAUAUAGAUUUUGUAAUAUUAUCAUCUUUUGAUCUACCGUUGUCAUCCAUGUACCACAUCUUACUCAGAAUGCUUCAUUAACUCUUUUCUUAUUUCCUGCUAACAUUUAUGCCUAUCACUUUAUUCUGAAAACUCGAACAAGAAAUUCUUUUGCUUUUAGCUUCCCUUUGUUCCAUCUAGUGGCUCAUCAAGUUGCUUAACGUUCUCUAUUUACUAGGGACANNNNNNNNNNNNNNNNNNNNNNNNNNNNNNNNNNNNNNNNNNNNNNNNNNNNNNNNNNNNNNNNNNNNNNNNNNNNNNNNNNNNNNNNNNNNNNNNNNNNNNNNNNNNNNNNNNNNNNNNNNNNNNNNNNNNNNNNNNNNNNNNNNNNNNNNNNNNNNNNNNNNNNNNNNNNNNNNNNNNNNNNNNNNNNNNNNNNNNNNNNNNNNNNNNNNNNNNNNNNNNNNNNNNNNNNNNNNNNNNNNNNNNNNNNNNNNNNNNNNNNNNNNNNNNNNNNNNNNNNNNNNNNNNNNNNNNNNNNNNNNNNNNNNNNNNNNNNNNNNNNNNNCUCUGAUACCACUUUUGUCACGACCCAAACCGAUGGGCUGCGACGGGCGCCCGGUAUCCUACUCAACCGAGUACCAAUGUAACGUAUCUUUCUUAUUAUAUUAUCAUAUACAUGUGACAUACGGGCCUAAUAGGCCCAAACUAUCCUUUAUAAACUCAAAUCAUAGGUUGACAAGGCCGUACAAUCUUUCAUGUACACGACAAAUGUCUACAAGCCUCUAAGAGUAUAUAAAUGUCAUAAAUGUUGGGACAGAGUCCCGCUAUACCAAAUAAUACACGUCUAAAUCAUACUAACCAAACACGCAACUUCAAAGCAAAUGGAGCGCACCAACAUCUUCUGCUGAGUUGAUAGCCUACUUGGAGGGCUCUCGACCCGUCUAUCUGGACCUGCGGGCAUGAAACGCAGUGUCCCAAGGAAAAAAGGGACAUCAGUACAAAUAAUGUACUGAGUAUGUAAGGCACAUAAAUAAGUACAUAACAGACAUGGAGGAAAUAUAGAAUAAAUGACUCCACCUGUAAGUCCGAAUAACUUUGUAAAUCAUGAAACAAUUAUAGUAUCAUGCAUAUGCGUAUGAAUGUCAUGGCGUGCAUAGGUACAUGUUUCAUAACAUCACCAGCCUCUGAGGACAUCCCAUCAUAUCAUCUUGUCCACUGUGGGCAAAAUCAUCAACAUAUACUAGAUGAUCAGGUGGUGGUGCGUAUAUAACGUCAUAACCUUUCCCAUAUCCUAUAUACAUAUAUAUACAUACAUAUAUACGCGUAUAUAACACCAUCCGGUCAUGGAUCAAUGUACAUGAAUGCAAUGCAUGAAAAUUACGUUAAUAAAAUCUUUCGGAAUGUCAUAAGACCAUUUUGCUGUUGAGUAAUAUCAUGAAAUAAACCUUAUCAACUUACGUAUUUUUUGAGACCCAUGAACAGAUGAAAGAAUAAUAGGACACAUGGAGAAUCAAGAACAUUGGCACUUCUAAUACUUCUAUGAAUAGAGUCAUUUAUGGAAGUUGGUCAUUUUCGCGUUUCGUUCAUAUCGUAUAGAUCAUGCCAAAAGAAAGAAGGGAUAGCCGUAACAUACCUGAGUCGAUUCUCUUGACAAUCCCUCUAAUAUACAUUGAUUACGACAAAACGCGUAACGGCGGAUCAAAGUAGGGGAAAAUUCGUAUGGUAUUCUUGAGAAAGAUUGCACCGUGCUCUCUUAGAAUCAGAUUUUACGCUAUUGUAGCAAUCCAUCCAUUAGCAAUCCUAGAUCUCUUGUAAGAGUUCAUAAGUAUUAUUUUGAAAAUGACAUGCUUUAGUUGUUGCCCAUAAUUUCCUCUUAAAUGACUAGCUCUCGUUUGAUGUGUGCAUGGAAUGAUGCAGCAAAUGGAGGUUCAAAUAAUCUUGUAAGUUUGUAAUUUGUGUAUAUCCAAAUACAAAAAUAGAGUGAAAGUAGGAACAAAUAUAACCCAUUCACUUGGUAUAUGGAAACACUUUUUCGUAUGAACAAUACCAAUAUGUAACAAUCUCUCAUAGUUUAAAGAUUUGUGGCCCCACUUUUGGGAUGACUUAGUCACAAAUAUAUCUUAAAAUAUGACACCUUGCAAUUCUUUUUAAAAGUCAUUGAUUUGAAUUGUGGGCUGCCACGGUACAAUCUUAUCCAAAUAUAUCCCCAAUUAAUUAGGUAAUGUCCUAUAACCCCGUAAAAUUGAGAAUUAUUCUCACUUACUUAAAAUAUUACUCACUUUUCACAUACCUUAUAUACCUUAUUAUUAUGGUCAUGUGGUACCUUGUAUGAUAUUAGUCCAUAAAUACCGAGUAUUUUAGCUUGAGCCGUAUUUUAUCCCAACAUGCCAAACUUGGACGAAAAUUCGUUUUCUUUGACUUNNN